AGGGAGUCUGGUUCCUACGGUCACACCCUGACACUGAGGGAGUCUGGUUCCUACGGUCACACUCUGACACUGAGGGAGUCUGGUUCCUACGGUCACACUCUGACACUGAGGGAGUCUGGUUCCUAAGGUCACACUCUGACACUGAGGGAGUCUGGUUCCUAAGGUCACACUCUGACACUGAGGGAGUCUGGUUCCUAAGGUCACACUCUGACACUGAGGGAGUCUGGUUCCUAAGGUCACACUCUGACACUGAGGGAGUCUGGUUCCUAAGGUCACACUCUGACACUGAGGGAGUCUGGUUCCUAAGGUCACACUCUGACACUGAGGGAGUCUGGUUCCUAAGGUCACACUCUGACACUGAGGGAGUCUGGUUCCUAAAGUCACACUCUAACACUAAGGGAGUCUGGUUCCUAAGGUCAC